rnacentral:rRNA from 1 species
UACAGAGGUGGCUAGCGUUGUUCGGAAUUACUGGGCGUAAAGAGUUCGUAGGCGGUUUGUUAAGUCUGAUGUUAAAGACUGGGGCUCAACCCUGGGAGUGCAUUGGAUACUGGCAGACUCGAGUGCAGUAGAGGCAAGCGGAAUUCCAGGUGUAGCGGUGAAAUGCGUAGAUAUCUGGAAGAACACCGGUGGCGCAAGCGGCUUGCUGGGCUGUAACUGACGCUGAGGAACGAAAGCUAGGGUAGCGAAUGGG